AUUUUUUCACAAGUGUGCAUUUUAUAUUUGCGUGACAGUCACUAUUUUAACUUUUUUUCCCAAAGAAAUAUCUUUUAACACUAGGGUACAAUAGCUGCUUAGUAAUUCUCUUAUACAACCUUUAGGAAAGGCCACAUUGGACAUUUCACAAGCCUUCUAACAAGACUGACUUUCAGUGACAUAAUUUUGCAAUUAUCCAGCCUAAUUCAAGUCUAUGAAGAUUUAUUGAUCGCUUGCUACGUGUACAUGGAUCAGAGAUCAAUAAGAUCCACCUGGGUCCCAUAUAGUCCACAUGGGUACAAUUACAACUCCAAGCCUGACUGUGCUGUGUGUAAUAAUCGAACACUAUGUAAAAUACCUUGGGAAACUGAAGAGGAAGCAGUGAAUUCCAAUGAGAUAGAAUGUGCUGUGUUUUACCUAAAUGGCAGUAUUUGAGUUGAGUCUUAUAGGAUGAGUCAGGUUUUUACUGAAGGAAAGAAGAGAAAAGGACAAAUAUUCAGGAAAGUCAGUGGGAUAUGGAAGAGCAUUUUAUCUGGAGAAUAAUCUCUCAGGUAGGUGCGUGUGGGUGGAAUGGGGACACCCUGGGGGUAAAUGAGAAGAUGUAACAUUUGAGACAGGACCAAAUUAUGAAAGCCUUGAGUGUCAAGCUUUGGAUUCAAGACUUGAUUCUGUAGCAGUUAAGACCUAUCACAGGUUUUUAUGCAGAGAGUGAUGCCAUCAGAUCUUAAUAGAGGGGAGAUGCUUGGAAUUGUGGUGUCUUGAAAUAUACCAGCUGUUAAACUACUAGAACAGAUUUGUGAUACAACCAGUAUAUAUGGGUUAUUUUCACACUCAAUAAAAACCUUGUGCACUAGGCAAAAUAUACAUUUAGUUAGGGUUAAUGUUGCAUAUUGUAUGGUGUGCAGUCACUUCCAGGUAUAGUUAAAUUAUUGCUGAUUAUGCUUGCAUAGGAAUGUAUUCUAGGAAUAUCUUACCAUCCACUGUUCUGACCCACCUUGUGUCAUGACAUGAAAGCACAGGACCAGAAAAUCUAUGGUCAUAGGACCACACCCUAUGGCUCUGGGCAUCCAAGUAGUGGGAGAAGAAAAGCAUAAAAUGUCC
rnacentral:lncRNA from 1 species